rnacentral:rRNA from 1 species
GAUCAUUAUCGAAUAAACUUGAACAGGUUGUUGCUGGCCCUCUGGGCAUGUGCACGCUUGUCCAUCUUUAUCAUUUCUCCAACUUGUGCACUUAUUGUAGACCUUUAGAUUUUGGGACUGCUGUGCUUGUCAUCAGUCGGCUUUCCCUUUCUUUUUAUUAAGGUCUAUAUGAUUCACACAAUCUCAUAAAUGUCGAAUGUAUGUUUAAAAACAAAAGAAAUAUAUACAACUUUCAGCAACGGAUCUCUUGGCUCUCGUAUCGAUGAAGAACGCAGCGAAAUGCGAUAAGUAAUGUGAAUUGCAGAAUUCAGUGAAUCAUCGAAUUUUUGAACGCAUCUUGCGCUCCUUGGUAUUCCAAGGAGCAUGCCUGUUUGAGUGUCAUCAAGUUCUCAACCACAUAUUUUUUGUGGCUUGGAUUGUGGGGGUGUUGCUGGCUUUUAUAUAAAAGUAGGCUCUCCUUAAAUGCAUAAGUGGUGUUUAGAAAAGCUACGUGUUGGGUGUUGUAAAUUAAUAAUACACCUUUUUGGCAAUUCUAAUAUGCUGCUUCCAACCCUUUGUUUUGACAAUUUUGACCUCAAAUCAGGUAGGACUACCCGCUGAACUUAAGCAUAUCAAUAAGCGGAGGAAAAGAAACUAACAAGGAUUCCCUCAGUAACUGCGAGUGAAGUGGGAAAAGCUCAAAUUUGAAAUCUGGCAGGUUCUACACACUGCCCGAAUUGUAAUCUAAAGAAGUGCUAUCUGUGCUGGACCAUGUAAAAGUCUUCUGGAAUGGAGCAUCAUAGAGGGUGAGAAUCCCGUCUUUGACAUGGACUACCAGUAUGUUUAUGAUACACUCUCAAAGAGUCGAGUUGUUUGGGAAUGCAGCUCAAAAUGGGUGGUAAAUGCCAUCUAAAGCUAAAUAUUGGCGAGAGACCGAUAGCGAACAAGUACCGUGAGGGAAAGA